GAUGAAGAACGUAGCGAAAUGCGAUACUUGGUGUGAAUUGCAGAAUCCCGUGAACCAUCGAGUCUUUGAACGCAAGUUGCGCCCGAAGCCAUUAGGCCGAGGGCACGCCUGCCUGGGUGUCACACGUCGUUGCCCCCCAUCUACUCCUUCGGGAUUGCGGGGGGCGGAUGAUGGCCUCCCGUGCGCCUCGUCGCGCGGUUGGCAUAAAUGCCAAGUCCUCGGCGACGCACGCCACGACAAUCGGUGGUUGCGAAACCUCGGUUGCCCGUCGUGUGCGGUCGUCGCGCAUCGAGGGCUCGAAAAAAUUGCCGGGCUCCGGCUCGGCUUUCAACGCGACCCCAGGUCAGGCGGGGUUACCCGCUGAAUUUAAGCAUAUCAAUAAGCGGAGGA
rnacentral:misc_RNA from 1 species